ACAAGCUACAGAAAGGAAUAGAGAAAACUAAAGUUGAAGGUCACACCACCGGCUCAUCGAACUCUCAUAUCUUUGUGGUUACAAUUUUUUUAAUGUGACGAGUUAUUUUACAGCUUAGAGGUCCUUAUAAACUGAUAACACUACAUAAAACUCCUUGGUAGCAUUUAAACAUUUGAAAAACAAUGUGUCUGGAAUCCCGGACUAUCAAACAAGGCAGGGAUCGCCCGAGUUACCAAUGUCCCGCCACUAGAGGGCGCGUAGUGCUCGCCUGUCAAAAUACCUCUCUGGGUUUUUGUGUUCUUGUUCAUAAAUUUCAAACAAAUGACUUGGAAUCGCAGAAUAAACAAAGCCCCUUAGUUCAUUCGGCGAAGUUAAUCGCUGAGAAACUGCAGCCUUGAGAAACAACUUGAGUGGGCAUUCUCCUUAAUCUGCCUCGUGCCGGUCUCUGUGACCUUUAACCCCCUUAUUACUCAGACCUUGGGGCAGCAUUGUCUUGCAAUCCUGACCCCACCUCCCUUUUCGUCACUUCUACAAGAGGCUUUUCUGAGUUCUCUCAUUUUUUCCACAAGCUUGCAGCAUAAAGUAGGGCCCAGUCCUUGUAUGGACUAACAUGCUGAACGGGCUUAGUACUUCACAGUAUGAUCUGAUGGAUUCUAGAUCUGAAAUGUGGUUGCAUAAAGAUUUACUGGGAAGUUUCGUAGCUUGAAAGUAGCAACUCGAGCUGGAAUCUCUGUGCACUCACCAUGAAGGGGCUGCCUGCGCCAAGCCUGUCUCUUAAAUUAUCUUCCGUUUGCAUUGAUCCUACAAGUGGCUGGUCUUAGAAGAAUCUGUGCAAAGCAAAUGAAGGAAAAGGAACCGAGGUCAGCCACUCCAGACCAUCGCACUCCUGGAAUGCAGAAGGUCCUUUGCAUAAGCAAACGUUUUACCAUGUUAGGAACAGUAAAAAGAUUUUCAUAAAGGUUUUACAAGAAUGACUAUAGGUUAAAGAGUCUACAGCAGAGUGAAAGAGGCUUUGGAGAUGGACUGAGUCGAUAUCAUAAUAAACUACACCAGUGCUGGAAACCUGGUAUUGAUGGAGCUGCUGGAGUUGGAGUUGGAGAGAGAAGCAGCAGAGUUCAUCUGAGAGAUGAAAAGCAAAACAAUAUUCCAAGAGCAGGAAAAUGGUUCCAGAUCAGGAAAUGAAAGUCAAGUCAAGAUGAGUGAAAAACUGGACAGGUAGACAACCUAUUUGGUCAUGUCUAGAAGGGCACAGAGCCAAACCCAGGAAUGGUCAGAAUCCAUUGUUUAUUGGUUCUUGAUACACAUGCACCAGAUCUUAGAGGAGAGAUCUUACACAGUGUUAAGCACCCCUGUAUUCCUGGUGAAAAAAAAGUGGUACCUGUUCCUUCAUCUGGUAUGUCCAAUAAAACCUUGGGCCUGGCUUCCCUGAAAUAAUUUUAAAACACUCAUGUUUUCCUACAGUCCUUAUCUUAAUAAAUGUAUAUGGUGACUC